GACGAAGAACGUAGCGAAAUGCGAUAAGUAAUGUGAAUUGCAGAAUUCAGUGAAUCAUCGAAUCUUUGAACGCACAUUGCGCCCUUUGGCAUUCCGAAGGGCACACCUGUCCGAGCGCCGUCGCACAACUGAGGCGCAGCCUUGCGUUGGCGGGCGACUUGUGAGUAGCGAGUCGCCGCCCAAACGAGACGGCGCCGCGCCGCGGCCGACGAAGCACGAAAGCGGAAGUCGACGCGGAGGCGGUUGCCUGUAGGAAGACACAGCUUGGCCUCGGAUCAGGUGGGGAUACCCGCUGAACUUAAGCAUAUCAAUAAGCGGAGGA
rnacentral:misc_RNA from 1 species